GCUUGGAUGGCUCAGUUGGUUAGAGCGCAGGUCUCAUACACCGUGUAUGACCGUCAUCGACGGGUAAUCCUGAGGUCGUGAGUUCGAUCCUCACUCCGAGCA